UAUGCCUUCUUUUGAGCAAUAGAGCUAGUAGUAGAGCUUCUUCUACUUCCACGGUUGAGUAAAAAAUAAAUAAUAAUUGUAUUGAAUCAGAUAUUCGUGUACGACAAGUGUCUCGUGUGAAAGGCGUUCACACAUUUUUUGUGUCUUGUAGCGCGAUUCUAGUGGCCGGCCACAAAGUGUCUCGUCUGGAAGCGCUCUUACAGUAAAUUUGAACAUUGUAAUUUAACAAACGUGAAAGUAUAUUUGAAUUCCAUUAUGUACCCGUAUAACGAUUUGAAUUUAGAUUUUAGUAAAAAAAAAACUAUUCAUUGUAUAACAUGUACAUGGCAUUCCAAGAGUCUUAUUUUAUUAUGUAAAAGAGAUGUGCAGUCCAAUAUUAAAUCUUGCACAGCUUUUGGAAAGGGGUCGGAUUAUCGUUAUCGAUACUUCAAAACAAAACGAUUCAGUGACAGCUUCUUCAGUCGAUGUCAGU